UACAGAGGGGGCAAGCGUUGUUCGGAAUUACUGGGCGUAAAGCGCACGUAGGCGGAUAUUUAAGUCAGGGGUGAAAUCCCAGAGCUCAACUCUGGAACUGCCUUUGAUACUGGGUAUCUCGAGUAUGGAAGAGGUGAGUGGAAUUCCGAGUGUAGAGGUGAAAUUCGUAGAUAUUCGGAGGAACACCAGUGGCGAAGGCGGCUCACUGGUCCAUUACUGACGCUGAGGUGCGAAAGCGUGGGGAGCAAACAGG
rnacentral:rRNA from 1 species